rnacentral:rRNA from 1 species
UACGUAGGGUGCAGGCGUUAAUCGGAAUUACUGGGCGUAAAGCGUGCGCAGGCGGUUUGCUAAGACAGGUGUGAAAUCCCCGGGCUUAACCUGGGAACUGCGCUUGUAACUAGCAGGCUAGAGUGUGGCAGAGGGGGGUGGAAUUCCAGGUGUAGCAGUGAAAUGCGUAGGUAUCUGGAGGAACACCGAUGGCGAAGGCAGCCCCCUGGGCUAACACUGACGCUCAUGCACGAAAGCGUGGGGAGCAAACAGG